rnacentral:rRNA from 1 species
UACGUAGGUGGCGAGCGUUAUCCGGAUUUAUUGGGUUUAAAGGGUGCGUAGGCGGCUUAGUAAGUCGGUGGUUAAAGGUAGCAGCUCAACUGUUUUACAUGCCACCGAUACUGUUAAGCUUGAGUUAUCAGAAGGCAGGCGGAAUUUCUGGUGUAGCGGUGAAAUGCAUAGAUACCAGAAGGAACUCCUAUUGCGAAGGCAGCUUGCUGCAAAUAAACUGACGCUGAGGCACGAAAGUAUGGGGAUCAAACAGG